GAGAGGAGAGUGAAAAGGAUUUUAGAGAAAAAACAAAAAUUUUUGAGAGAUAGACCGCCGGUUUGGAGAAGAGGAUUUGAAGCUGGGGUAAGCUUGAUCCACCCAAAUGAAGAAGAAAAAGAAAGGAGAUUUAGUUCCUAAAAGGGUGAUUUGAAUGGGGAAACACGGUGGGAAGAGAGAUUUUAAGAGAAUUUUUGCAGUUGAGAGAGUAGAGAGGGAGGAGAUUUUUGUUUGGUGGG
rnacentral:lncRNA from 1 species